UAGGUACGGCUAAUCAGGUGAGUGGGUUUGAACCCUUCUUCACAGGGAGUUUGAGUUCUCUGCGUACUUAG